CCCCUGGCUGGCCCAAGAGCCGGGUCCAGAUACGCGCGCCUGAUUCCAGGCGUCAUAACCAACCCGGGGCCGCGAGGCUGGGAUCAGGCACCCCGGAGCCGCUUGCCCGUGGCCGGGCUGCUCUCCCCCUCUAAGCCUAAGCACCGCCAGUCGCGGCGCUGCGCUUUCCGCCGACCUCCCAGAGCGUCCCGCCGUCGCCGGCGGCCAGCCUCGCGCAGGACCAGUGUGGCGCCGCCCUGCUGUUGCUGGGGGGCGCCCGAGGCCUCCAUUCCUUGCCCAGGCUUCCGGCUCUCGGGGCGGCCUCCCUUCCGCCCACGCUCCAGGGCUUCCCCGGCUCCCGAGCUCCGAGCUUCCACCACAUCGGCCGGCUCAGGACAGGGCUUCCACUGUAAAGUCGGCUGCCAGACGUGUUGGAGCUCACCGGAUUUGUCCCUGGUGCCUUAUUUAGUUCACUUGGUGAGGUCAUGUUUUUUUCCUGGAUGGUGUUGAUGGUAGUAGAUGUUCUUCAGUGUCUGGACAUUAAAAUCUUGGGCAUGCAGCACCAUAUGAGAGGUUUAAAAAAUAAAAUUAAAAAAGAGAAAAGGCUCAAGUCCUGCUGCAUGAACUUUCUGAUGACUGCCUAUGUUCACUCAAGGCCUUUGGUCUCUACAAUUAGCAGGUGGCAAAGCCAGCCAGGCCUGUGUUCUUUCCUUUAGGGCAGUGAGUGCCCUCAGUCCCUGGCUGGGUCCAGAAAUGCCAUUCAGAAGUCAGGGAGUACAGUCAAAAAUUUUAGAAGUCCACUUGACAUUCUAUUGCAUUGCAGCUGAUCUGGCACUCAAACCACAAGACAUAGUUCUUCCUAUUCCUCCCUUCCUUUCCUAAAGGCAGGGUAGCCACCACCACCUCAGGCCACAGUGAGUACUGCCAGGCUACCACCAAUGUUCCCUUAAGGCCCAAAGCCUCUUGUCAGCUUGUGAUGAAUGCUGCCUGGCCUGGGACUUGCGUUUUCAGGACAAUGGGAUCCCUACUGGCCCUGGGCAGCUUCAUAAAUGCCAACCAAAAAUCAAGUCCUAGAAUCAGGGAUUCUGAAAGUUCGCUUGGUGCUCUACCCACCUCUGGCCUUGCUGGUACCUAAGGGGCAAGAAAAAGUCCCCUUUAAUUUUCCCUCUACUUUUCCCAAGAAGAAGGAGUUUUGCCUCUUAGCCACCACAGCUAGUAAUGUGCUGACCUCACCUAAAUCUAGCAAGUCUAUGAGGGUCAUCCAAGGCCCUUGAUGUAGUACCUGGGUAUGGCUGCUGGUUAUUCAGAGCCCAAAGGUUUUCAAGUUUGCAGGCGAUAAAUCCUGCCAGCACAUGGUUCUUUUCUUCAAGGCAGCAGGUUUUUUUCUGGCCCAGGGUGUGUCUAGGAAUGUCUAGGAGCCAGAGACUGGAAAGGAGGCUGCAGGAUUCUGACCAGUGCACUACCUUGCUGUGGCUGAGCUGGUGCCCAGGAUGAAAGACAAAGUACUCCCUAUUCUUUUCCUUCCUCUCCUCAAGCAGAAGGAUGGGGUCCCUUUUGGAGCCAUGAGCUGUGCAGUCUGGUGUUAGCGGAGUGAUAAUGCCAGAACUCCUUUGGCUGCCCCAGCUGGUGUCUCAGUAUGUUGCCUGCCCUCCCCACCCCAGUCCACUGUCCCUGGGCCCCAUUCAGCCCUAGGCCUCACCUAAGAGUUACAGUCCUGAUGGCCUAGGCUGCCUUUCAAGUUUUCUUAGACACACAGAGUGCGGGAGCCCUUAGUUGCCAGGUUUCCAAACACUGAAGUUCCAACCACUGGAAUCUGAUUCUCCUCUGGCUAGGGCUGGCUUAAUUGAUCACUCUGUGGAUCAGCAUUAACUGCACUUGGUCUGGUUUUCCUUUCUGCUCUAACAGGACAGCACUGAGUUCAGUGCCUCACAAUUGCUGUGUUCUCUCUCCCGCAGAACCCAGAGUUGAUCUCUGCAGCAUGCCAUCACUGCUGGGGAUGAGGAAACGGUGAUUUCAGGACUGUUUUUUCUGUCUCUUCAGUGCCUCUUUCAGUGAUCUGAGGUUAAAACCAGGGGGACAAUCAGUGGAGCCUUCUUUCUGCCGUCUUGCUUUACUCUCACGCCCAAGAAUCAGAAUUCAGAACUUUUAAUAAGAAAAGCUUUCAGAACUCAGGAAGGACAAGGAAGACAUUCUGGUUCUCCAUGCUUAACAUUGGACUGUUUCUUCAACUGAGGUGCAUAGCACUGACUAAUCAGGGAUUAUCAUAGAUAGUUUGACUUGGACUACGCCGUUCAUUCAAAUUCUUUAUCUAGACAAUUUAAGUACUAGCUGAUUUGGCAUGAAAAUCUGGCAAAGUAUUUUCUUGGUAUUCAAUUGAUUUUUAUUCUGCUUGGGUUAGCAGUUUUAUUAACCAGUUAGUCUCUUCAUUAAAGUUCUGGGAAUUCUUACCCAGUUCAAAUAAUAUCAUUCUAAAGUUCUCAAAAACCUGUAUUCAAGAGUGCUUCUGAGGGCCUUCUCCAUCCUUUCAUGAACCUCCUUAAAGAUACAAUAUUCCAGGAUUUUGCAAGCUUGUAAAGUUUUCAGAAACUGCCUCAGAAUUAAGCAAUUUACUGUGGAAAUGACUUUAAGUUGUCAUAGUCAGACACAAUUGACAAGAAAAUUUUAUUUAUUUAUAGGCAUGAGCCACAGCGCCUGGCCUCUAAAGCUAAUUUAAUAAAACUUUAUAAAUGCACUAUGGAGGAUUCAUCAACAGACCAGGAAGCAACAGCCUGGGCUCCAGAAUUGACCAGUAGUCCGUGCACAGACGAGGAGAGGUCCCAUGAAACUUCGGCGCAGUCUGGGAACCGAGCUCUUUUUGUAACAAGUUGUUUGUCAGGAGGCCCGGUCAUGAAAGCCCUUCCUGACUGGGCUCAAGGAAUACAAAAAGGACAACUUGUUUUUGCCAUUGUCUGUUGUUUUUCAAUAACUAGUUCUCCGAAACAGCACUGGAUGAAUGCCUCAAGGGGCUCACACAACUCGUUCCAGGACUUAGUGACCAUUGUUUCUGUCCCUGUUCAAUAGAGUUCAAAUUUAAUAUUUAAAUUUUGCUCCACAAUGUGCCAUAUUAUCUGUAUCCAACCUGUCAUUGGGCAUUUAGGUUGAUUCCAUGUCUUUACUAUUGUGAAUAAUGCUGCAAUAAACAUUUACGUGCUUGUGUCUUUAU
rnacentral:lncRNA from 10 species